rnacentral:rRNA from 1 species
GACGAACGCUGGCGGCGUGCUUAACACAUGCAAGUCGAACGGAAAGGCCCUGCUUUUGUGGGGUGCUCGAGUGGCGAACGGGUGAGUAACACGUGAGUAACCUGCCCUUGACUUUGGGAUAACUUCAGGAAACUGGGGCUAAUACCGGAUAGGAGCUCCUGCUGCAUGGUGGGGGUUGGAAAGUUUCGGCGGUUGGGGAUGGACUCGCGGCUUAUCAGCUUGUUGGUGGGGUAGUGGCUUACCAAGGCUUUGACGGGUAGCCGGCCUGAGAGGGUGACCGGCCACAUUGGGACUGAGAUACGGCCCAGACUCCUACGGGAGACAGCGGUGGGGAAUAUUGCACAAUGGGCGGAAGCCUGAUGCAGCAACGCCGCGUGCGGGAUGACGGCCUUCGGGUUGUAAACCGCUUUCGCCUGUGACGAAGCGUGAGUGACGGUAAUGGGUAAAGAAGCACCGGCUAACUACGUG